GAAGCUCUUGAUGGAAAUAUUCUCCCAAGAGAUUUAGCUGGCAGCCGAACAAAAUAAACGUAAUCGACGGAAAUGUUCAACAAAGUGCGCUACGCAAUCUACAUUUUCUUUAGCAGAGUUUAACAUUUCCGUUUAAACGGAAAAAGCCUCCAGAAACGACCCAUCCCAAGCGAUUUUUCUGGAUUAAAGACAAUCAAUCAAAUCAAAUCAUCGAUUGCUUAAAUUCAUCACAGUCGCGAUAUCGGCGUAAUGUUGAAAAAUUACAGCAGACGUUAGAUAUUAGCGAUGGGAAAGUUCCUACGCACUGGAUACUGGAUGCAUAAAAUACAGACGGACUUCUGCACAAUCAUCGACUCGCAAAAUUUAAAAAUACAACAGUUGUUGCCUGGGGACUCAAUCUUUUUCACAAAUCUAUCGAUUCAGUUUGCGAUACCAACGAAACUGUGAAUUAUGCAAUUGAGUUUUCAAAUGGAUUGGAUUUGCUUGCCAUCACACCAUUUACAAUUACAAUUGGUGGACGGUUUUCUAAGGGUUAAACUACAAAGAGAGUGAGAGCGCUCUAACUGAAAUUGCCCACUCGGAGAACGGCAUCGUUUCAUGCUAGGGCGGCGUAACCUCGUCUCCGAUCACCAAGAAGAGUCUUCGUUUGCGUGUCGACGAAAUCACAACGACAAUUAGCAGUUGCAGCUGGCCGUGCUUACACCCGUAUUACCCAUUACAUUGUACUCUAUACGCGAAUUACGUUUAAAGUUUAAGUUGAUUGAAGUCCAAAUGAAUAAAUCUCGAAUUGUCUAUAUCGUGUAGUACAUUAUUAAACGCAAA